UGUGCCACGUCAGAUCGACUUAAGUCUCUUCCUCUUUCUUGCCAAUGUGUCGGUGUAAAUUUCUUUCGCCGUUGAAGUCGAUCGUGUCUGUUCGCCUUUUUCUGUCUCACUGUCAUACCCUAAUUGCAGUCUGUUUGUCUCCCUUUCUCACUUUUGUUCACUGUUCUAUUUAAGUGAGGAAUCAAAAACUCUCAGGUAAUAAAAAAACUAGAUGGCUGCUCAGCUCUCUCUCUCAGAUCAGAAUUGAAAGAUUCACCAUUAGUCGAGAUUAGUGCUUCAACAGAGAUGGGGUCACCCGAUCUAAUUACAUCCUCGAAAUCUUAUUACAAGGAGAAGAUCGAUGCUGCUUGGAGGGACAGGUUCAAAGGUGGGAUCAGAAGAAAAAUCAAAGUCCUGCUCAUGACCCUCAGAGAUCGGAUCUUUCUACGCUGUUGCUCCUCCUAGAGCAGAACACUCGCGUUUCACCGGUCUCUGUUAUAUCCUUCUCUUUUGUUAUUCUUCUCUAAAUUUCUAUUUUGUGUUUUGGUAGCGCUGAUGACACACUUAAGCUCUCGAUUGAUAACAACGUUUCUUGGAAUUUUGUGUAGACUUUGCAAUUCUUCAAACCGUUUUGUGAUCGAUCCUUCAUUGUUUUCUUUUUCCUUGGUAAAAUUAUCUGCUAGGUGAUGCUGAACCUACCCACUUGGUUAACGGUUGGAUUAUGCCCUACUAAACAAAGUAAGAAGGGAAAUUGACAAGAAACAUGAUGCUUUCAGUCAAUUUACCAGUGAAAUAUUUUUUUGAUGCGUACUAAUAUUUUUGAAUUUUCUCUACAGAUACUAUAGUAUGCUUUCAAUAAAAAAAACAGUGAAAUGGACCUAUUGAAGAAGAAACAUACAAAAUAGAUGUUGCAAAAAUAUUAGUGUGAUCUAGGAUGGCACAGAAAAUAAUAACAUGAUUCUUACGACUCAUUCUCCCGACCAUUGUAUCUUCAAUCACUUUGAUUUCAAUGUUUAUAUAAAGAAAGGCACUAAGAAAGAGAUGCCCAUGCGCAGGGACGAAGAGAACAACAAUAUAUAGAGGUGAUUGAUUCUGAAUUUACUUGUGGUCAAGGUUUUGGUUCUUUCGUUGGUAAUUGCCAUGAGCGUCCAGAACGGAAAUGACCUAUCCAGAUAUCACCUUUAGAGAGAGAAGCACAAUUUCUAAGUGAGUUCUUCUCUGCUAACACUAUUUCUCACCUCAGAUUGAAUAACCAAAGGCUAAGGGUACUCUGUAUGUAGUGGAGAUGAGUGGAAGGUGUAAGAGAUUAGAAAGAGGAUAUGAGAAAGAGGCGGAAUCACAACAGCCUAGGAUAUUUGUAUAAUGCUGAACGGGAUGCAGAGAUCGCUUGCUGAUUGAAAUUAAAGAACUUAUUUGCCAUCGAUAUUUCUAUUUGAUAAUUUGUGUACUAAUGCAGUUCUUAUAAAGUGUUCCAUAUACAUAGCUAUAGAUGUAACAAAGUAAUAAUGAAUAUUCUGUAUAUCAGGUUGGCUAUGCACUUACAACACCUAGAGAACACGAGGACAACGGUCAAUGAAAAGAUCAGCGACGAUCAUAUAUGGAGAGGCUCCGACGAAAUCUCCGACAGCAACCGGUACUUCGAACCCUUAAACGGUAAGAAAUUCUCACACGUGUGUACAGCUCCAGUGAAAUAUGAUCCAAACUGGAUCACAACAACAACAACAAACAAAACUUCAAACAACAUCGCUUACAUAGUCACCGGAGCUCAGCUAGAAGUUAAGAAACACGGCUCAAAAUCAGUUCUCCACCUCCGUCUCCGUUUCACCGGAGUCUCUGACCACAACGUCGUUCAAAAGGAAUAGGUCCAUGGACCAACGUAAAAUACUGAUUGAAAGUGUACGGUUGUUUUGUUUAUUUCUGAAUGAAUAUAACUUUUGUCUUUUUAGUA